GGUUUAUAUGUUCUAGUGGUUUUAGACUCCUACACAGUACAGGUUUAUAUGUUCUAGUGGUUUUAGACUCCUACACAGUACAUGUUUAUAUGUUCUAGUGGUUUUAGACUCCUACACAGUACAUGUUUAUAUGUUCUAGUGGUUUUAGACUCCUACACAGUACAUGUUUAUAUGUUCUAGUGGUUUUAGACUCCUACACAGUACAGGUUUAUAUGUUCUAGUGGUUUUAGACUCCUACACAGUACAUGUUUAUAUGUUCUAGUGGUUUUAGACUCCUACACAGUACAGGUUUAUAUGUUCUAGUGGUUUUAGACUCCUACACAGUACAUGUUUAUAUGUUCUAGUGGUUUUAGACUCCUACACAGUACAUGUUUAUAUGUUCUAGUGGUUUUAGACUCCUACACAGUACAGGUUUAUAUGUUCUAGUGGUUUUAGACUCCUACACAGUACAGGUUUAAAUGUUCUAGUGGUUUUAGACUCCUUCACAGUACAGGUUUAUAUGUUCUAGUGGUUUUAGACUCCUACACAGUACAUGUUUAUAUGUUCUAGUGGUUUUAGACUCCUACACAGUACAGGUUUAUAUGUUCUAGUGGUUUUAGACUCCUACACAGUACAGG